AUUGAACGCUGGCGGCAUGCCUUACACAUGCAAGUCGAACGGCAGCACGGGUGCUUGCACCUGGUGGCGAGUGGCGAACGGGUGAGUAAUACAUCGGAACAUGUCCUGUAGUGGGGGAUAGCCCGGCGAAAGCCGGAUUAAUACCGCAUACGAUCUACGGAUGAAAGCGGGGGACCUUCGGGCCUCGCGCUAUAGGGUUGGCCGAUGGCUGAUGAGCUAGUUGGUGGGGUAAAGGCCUACCCAGGCGACGAUCAGUAGCUGGUCUGAGAGGACGACCAGCCACACUGGGACUGAGACACGGCCCAGACUCCUACGGGAGGCAGCAGUGGGGAAUUUUGGACAAUGGGCGAAAGCCUGAUCCAGCAAUGCCGCGUGUGUGAAGAAGGCCUUCGGGUUGUAAAGCACUUUUGUCCGGAAAGAAAUCCUCGGCCCUAAUACGGUCGGGGGAUGACGGUACCGGAAGAAUAAGCACCGGCUAACUACGUG
rnacentral:rRNA from 1 species